CAACCAACACCCCCUCUCCCACAUGCUUCAACUUUGCCGUCUGUUUUCCAUUAUUCCAUCAAGAUCAUGAUUAAUGGAAGCUCUCCUGAAUUUCAAUAUCUUGAAAUCUAGCCAAGACCUAUUCUUUGGAGGCUAAGCUGAAAACAAAUAACACUAAAAAUAAGGUGAUGCAGGCUUUGAAAGUCUUUAGUGAAACCAUCACGGUGAUCUUUGCACCACUGCUGUGGAAAAGAGGAUAACAUUUCACAUUUCUGGCGUUGUUAAUGACAACAUGCAACUGAAAGCAAGCAUGAAUUUCUGGGAGUAGCAUUAGGGUACAGGACUCCCGCUGAGCGCACCAGUUCCUUGCUCUGCACAGCUGCCUUCUCAGCUGGGGGUUUGAAAUCAGCACUGCGAGAAAAGGCAGAAAUGACCAUGACGUAUGUGCCUCUCUAUGAGAAAAGAUAACUGUGAUUUCAUAUCACGUUCCCAGGCACCACUCUCUGGAUGUGAACUCCCUACAUUUAAGUUCUACAGGACUCCAGCUGACGAACAGGUGGUUUGCUAAAUAAGCGAUGCAAUCAUGAGCAGAGGGGACAUGGUGAAACGCUCAUCAUCUGAAGCAGCAAUUCCUACCGGACGUGGGGGGAGGAAAUGUCAGGUCCUGGCCUUGUGGAGUGGAUCCGUCCUUGAAGACAGAGACGGCAGCCAGUAUUGAAUUCAGUGCCUUUAGUUUAGCUGUGUCUUCUGCCCUUUUCAUCUGCAACAAAGUUUCUAAGGGAUUGAACCCGCAGUCCUGCUGCCUCAGACUUCUGGAGUGCUAGGAGGACAGUGUGCGCUGUCAUGCCGGCUGGACUCUCUUCCAAAUGACCUCUCCACCCCAAGGCUGCUUUCAUAUGGUCUUCUGGAGAGUAUGAAAUUUCCUACUAAAAUCAAUUUCCUAUUCCACAUUUUCCUGAGUCUUGUUGUUCAAAAAAUCUAAACUGUUGAAUGCACAAAUAAUGUUUACUUUUGUACUGCCUUUUUGAUUUACUAUAAGCAAAUUGUUCAAAUUUAGUGAGAACAGAAUGGACAAUAAAUUCAGUGGACAAUCAAGGCAGGAGACUCCAAAUUUUGGUGAUAAUACUGCAAAUCAAUCAAAGACAAGUUUUGUGGACAAGCAUGUUACCAGUCCCCAUGGCUUAACUUCUAGCCUCUGAAGAUUAACUCACAUGUGGGAUUCGAUUCCUUUUUUAAUCACAGUGAGAAGUAGUCCACUGACCAAAGAGAACCCACAUGACAUGGGUAAUGGUUCUGUUCCCUCUUUAGUUGCCGAUAUAGAGACUUUUCUACCAUAAACCGAAUUGUGCCACUC